GAUGAACGCUGGCGGCGUGCUUAACACAUGCAAGUCGAACGAAGCACUUUAACCUGCUUCUUCGGAUGAAGGUUUUUGUGACUGAGUGGCGGACGGGUGAGUAACGCGUGGGUAACCUGCCUCAUACAGGGGGAUAACAGUUAGAAAUGACUGCUAAUACCGCAUAAGACCACAGAGCCGCAUGGCUCGGUGGGAAAAACUCCGGUGGUACGAGAUGGACCCGCGUCUGAUUAGGUAGUUGGUGGGGUAACGGCCUACCAAGCCAACGAUCAGUAGCCGACCUGAGAGGGUGACCGGCCACAUUGGGACUGAGACACGGCCCAAACUCCUACGGGAGGCAGCAGUGGGGAAUAUUGCACAAUGGGGGAAACCCUGAUGCAGCGACGCCGCGUGAGCGAAGAAGUAUUUCGGUAUGUAAAGCUCUAUCAGCAGGGAAGAAAAUGGCGGUACCUGACUAAGAAGCACCGGCUAAAUACGUG
rnacentral:rRNA from 1 species